AGAUAAAUGCAGUGCGCAGGAUUGUUAUACUGUAUAUACUCAGUACACAACAGAUACCUCCCUGGUGAUAACUGAUGCUAUAUACAGUCAAUGCAUAGUCUACAAUGUCAGAUUAGAGGGCUUGAGUGCACAUCAAAAUACAAUUUUAAGAGAUGAAGUUAUUUUGAAGAAAAGUUUUGGUGAAUGUUAUGUUUCUGCAGGA